rnacentral:lncRNA from 10 species
UCUUGAUCUCCUGACCUCAUGAUCCGUCUGCCUUGGCCUCCCUAAGUGUUGGGAUUACAGGCGUGAGCCACUGCGCCCGGCCAAUAUAAGGUAGAAGACUUUUUGAAUCUCUCCACACAGCUGUCUGGAUUUCAUAUUUGUAUUGACAAAGGGACUUUUGAUGCCAUAAGCCUUAAUCCUGACAAUGCAAUUGAGAAGAGGAAGCAAUAUGUGAAAUCUCUCUCCAGGGUGUUGAAAGUAAAAGGCUUUUUUCUAAUAACGUCAUGUAAUUGGACCAAGGAAGAGUUGCUAAAUGAAUUCAGUGAAGGUUGGAGUACAGUGGCAGGAUUUUGGCUCACUGCAGCCUUGACUUCCUGGGCUCAAGCGAUCUUUUCCACUUCAGCCUCCCGAGUAGGUGGAACUACAGGCACACAUCAUCAUGCCUGGAUAAUUUUUGUAUUUUUAGCAGAGACGAGGUUUUGCCAUGUUGUCCAGGCUGGUCUGGAACUCCUGGGCUCAAGUGAUUCUCCCACCUGGCCUCCCAAAGUGCUGGGAUUAUACCAUGCCAGGCCCUCGUUGGCAUUUUAGAUUUGAACUUCUCGAAGAGCUACCAACACCCAAGUUCAGCUUUGGAGGCAGAUCUGGAAACAGUGUAGCAGCAUUGGUUUUCCAAAAAAUGUGAGACUUUUUCUUGGACGAAUUCAGGUAGCUACACAGAAUCUACACAGCAAAGUUAACCUGACACAGAAAAUCCUUGUGCAAAUAAAUGCUUACUUACUUUACCAGAACUCUUCCCUCCAGUGAGUUGCAAGCGUGACAUUUGCUGUGUUUUCAGCACCUGCCAACUUGGAAAGCAGGGUUUGUGUUCAGGACUUAGGCUCACAACCCAUACUUUGUGGUGCACAAUGCUGGCCCAGCUGGCAUGCUUUCGUACCUCAAUGGUGCUAGACAGUCAGUUACAAAGCUGUGUGGCUUCACAUGCGCUGAUCUCAAUAGUCACUCCUCUUCAAGCUGCUUUCAACUCUUAUUUUGUAUCAAAGGAGUGGGAUUGGUAUUAUUAAACUCAUUGCUGAGGUUAUUUUUCAGUGAAAAUAAAUUGUUUUAUUUAGUU